CCAGUACCUAUGUUGCUUGUAGUCGGGCCACAAAGCUUAGUGGCCUCUACAUCAUUGGUAACUUUAAGGCCCCCAAACCGGUAACCGAAAAGGAUGCCGCUUAUAAAGAACUGGUAAAUAUGCAAGAAAACAAACUUAUAACAUCCAGAAACGGACUUCCAACCUGUGGAGAAUAUAGAAAAAAUAACCUAACGAGAAAAGUAUAUGCCCUAUGCCCGC